GACGAACGCUGGCGGCGUGCUUAACACAUGCAAGUCGAACGGAGUGGCGAACGGGUGAGUAACACGUGGGUGAUCUGCCUUGCACGCGGGGAUAAGCUUGGGAAAAGGGGCCUAAUACCGGAUAGUGCAAGAUGAGCUCGCGGCCUAUCAGCUGGUUGGUGGGGUAAUGGCCUACCAAGGCGUCGACGGGUAACCGGCCUGAGAGGGUGUACGGCCACAUUGGGACUGAGAUACGGCCCAGAGUCCGAAGGGAGGCAGCAGGGGGGAAUAUUGCACAAUGGGCGGAAGCCUGAUGCAGCGACGCCGCGUGGGGGAUGACGGCCUUCGGGUUGUAAACUCCUUUUGACAGGGACGCGGUACCUGUAUAAGAAGCACCGGCUAACUACGUGCCAGCAGCCGCGGUAAUUC
rnacentral:rRNA from 1 species